GACGAACGCUGGCGGCGCGCCUAAUACAUGCAAGUUGAGCGCUGAAGGUUGGUACUUGUACCAACUGGAUGAGCAGCGAACGGGUGAGUAACGCGUGGGGAAUCUGCCUUUGAGCGGGGGACAACAUUUGGAAACGAAUGCUAAUACCGCAUAAAAACUUUAAACACAAGUUUUAAGUUUGAAAGAUGCAAUUGCAUCACUCAAAGAUGAUCCCGCGUUGUAUUAGCUAGUUGGUGAGGUAAAGGCUCACCAAGGCGAUGAUACAUAGCCGACCUGAGAGGGUGAUCGGCCACAUUGGGACUGAGACACGGCCCAAACUCCUACGGGAGGCAGCAGUAGGGAAUCUUCGGCAAGGGACGAAAGUCUGACCGAGCAACGCCGCGUGAGUGAAGAAGGUUUUCGGAUCGUAAAACUCUGUUGGUAGAGAAGAACGUUGGUGAGAGUGGAAAGCUCAUCAAGUGACGGUAACUACCCAGAAAGGGACGGCUAACUACGUG
rnacentral:rRNA from 1 species